AAGCCAGCUAUCAUCUUCAACUACAAGUGAAGGUUGUCUUGCCACCAUUCAAUCUCAUCAGUAGUGCUCAUUGUCAGCUUCAUCAAUUCGGUUAAACAGCAUCACAUUUAAUGGAGAAAUCACCGAUGUCGGACGAUUCAUCUCUUUCUCCGUCUGAUCUUCUUUCCUCGUGUACAUGCUCGUGUGUGUGAGUGUAUUCACGAGGACACUCUGCGUGCCUGACCUAUCAACUUUUCUGCAGAUGGAUCACCUGGAGACGUCUGGCUGUAUUUCCCUGGCUUUAAGGAUUUUAAGAUAACCUAACUACUCUGACAUCUUCCAAAUUGGAAUGCCCAACAUGGAGUGGAGUGGAGUUGUAGGAAGCAAUCCUACUCUAGAGUCUAGGUUCUUAACUUUUGAAUGAAAAUCAAAACGAAAGACAUCUUAAGGUGUGUG